AUAGAUGGAACUUCUCCGAUGCAGGGAUCUCAAUGGUCACCGGAUCCCCCAGAAUGUUGCUUAGACACUGCAGCCAAUGAAUAGGUCUCUACACUACAUGGUUACACUGUUUACAGUUGAUCUUUUUGUCCUUCUGAUGGUUGCAAGCAUCUUGAAUCCACAAGACUCUUGCUUCUUUAGUCCAAAGCCAUCCUUUUGCUAUGUAAUACGCCCUCAAUUGUUCAAUGACUAUAAUAACAGAGACCCCGCCUCUAAGC
rnacentral:lncRNA from 1 species